AUUGAACGCUGGCGGCAGGCCUAACACAUGCAAGUCGAGCGGAUGAAGGGAGCUUACUCCUGGAUUCAGCGGCGGACGGGUGAGUAAUGCCUAGGAAUCUGCCUGGUAGUGGGGGAUAACGUCCGGAAACGGGCGCUAAUACCGCAUACGUCCUGAGGGAGAAAGUGGGGGAUCUUCGGACCUCACGCUAUCAGAUGAGCCUAGGUCGGAUUAGCUAGUUGGUGGGGUAAAGGCCUACCAAGGCGACGAUCCGUAACUGGUCUGAGAGGAUGAUCAGUCACACUGGAACUGAGACACGGUCCAGACUCCUACGGGAGGCAGCAGUGGGGAAUAUUGGACAAUGGGCGAAAGCCUGAUCCAGCCAUGCCGCGUGUAUGAAGAAGGUCUUCGGAUUGUAAAGCACUUUAAGUUGGGAGGAAGGGCAGUAAGUUAAUACCUUGCUGUUUUGACGUUACCAACAGAAUAAGCACCGGCUAACUUCGUG
rnacentral:rRNA from 1 species